rnacentral:tRNA from 1 species
AACACGUUAGCUCAGUCAGUUGAGCGUGGCAUUCACAAUGCCAAGGUCACGGGUUCGAUUUCCGUUCGGUUC